AUAAUAAAAAAAUGAGGAAAUGCUGUGAAGAACUAAUAGAACAUUUCAGAAGCAGAACAAGUUGAGAGCAGUGAUGACCCUUUUGUUCCUGCUAGUACCUCCUGUCUGUCUGGCCAAACUCACCAUCAGAUGAUGUCUUGAACCUCACCUAGAUGGGCUGGUGGUGUGUGGCCAGGUUAAGAGCACCAAGAGGAGUAAGAAAGUGACGUGCCUGGUUUUACCGUGUCCGCUAGGGGAGGGGUUGAAAGCUUUCUCUUGAUACAUCACCUCUGGGAGUUGAAGAAGAAUGCAAUUAAGAGAGCUAAAGAAGUCAGUAUGGAAUCUGAAACUCAGAGGGUUACCUCCACAAAUCAGUACCUUGAUUAAAACUAGAACUGAAGUCAUCUUCACUUCCUCGUCUUUCUCCCUCUUCAUUAGGACUGAUUGUAGACUGUUUCCCUCUCACUCACUUGCAAUCUAUAUUGCUUUAGUGCUGCAUUUGAUUUUAUCUUUGUUUUUAAAUACUGACAUUAAAGUUAUAGAAAAAUCUAAAAAAAAACUGGUUGAAUGAAAAUUUUAAAAUCGACUCUAAUGUAAUAAACCCGACAAAAAUGAUACUUUAAAUGUUAUAUCUUCCCUUUAAACUACAAAUAUUUAGUGAGUGUAUACCAUGUAUUAGGCUGUUGGAAUAAAACAGGGAAGAAGACAGAAGAAACUGCAGCGCCAUCAUGGAUCUUGCAGCCAAAUUCCUCUGAACUUUUCUCUAAAGGCGUGCUCUGGAGAAACGUUGACCAUUUUCCUACGUCGUGGAGGUCUUUUCGUGACCACCUUUGUCUAGACAGUGUCCUGUUUUUAGGUGCACGUUUGAGGGCUGGAGUCUCUGACCCACAGUGCUGCAGCCUGCACGUGGUUUCUCCUGACUUCUUUGCUACUUCACUUUUUGUGAGGCUCUGAGAGUGCAG
rnacentral:antisense_RNA from 1 species